AUACGGAGGAUGCAAGCGUUAUCCGGAUUUAUUGGGUUUAAAGGGUGCGUAGGCGGAUUGAUAAGUCAGCGGUGAAACUCACAGGCUCAACCUGUGCCGUGCCGUUGAAACUGUUAAUCUUGAAUGCGGAUGCUGUGGGAGGAAUGUGUAGUGUAGCGGUGAAAUGCAUAGAUAUUACACAGAACACCGAUUGCGAAGGCAUCUCACAAAGCCGUGAUUGACGCUGAGGCACGAAAGUGUGGGGAUCAAACAGGAUUAGAUACCCUGGUAGUCCACUACUGUAAACGAUGAUAACUCGCUGCCGGCGAUAUAAAGUCGGUGGCCCAGCGAAAGCGAUAAGUUAUCCACCUGGGGAGUACGACCGCAAGGUUGAA
rnacentral:rRNA from 1 species